rnacentral:rRNA from 1 species
UACGUAGGGUGCAAGCGUUGUCCGGAAUUAUUGGGCGUAAAGAGCUCGUAGGCGGUCUGUCGCGUCUGCUGUGAAAACUCAGGGCUUAACCCUGAGCUUGCAGUGGGUACGGGCAGACUAGAGUGCGGUAGGGGAGACUGGAAUUCCUGGUGUAGCGGUGAAAUGCGCAGAUAUCGGGAGGAACACCAGUGGCGAAGGCGACUUCCUGGCCUGUUCUUGACGCUGAGGCGGCGAAAGCUAGGGUAGCAAACGGG